GGUAGAAAGGUGUGUAUUUUGUUUUUAUUUGAGUUUCAUCGAAUUAUAAAAUAGCAUGUAAUUCAAAGGAGACAUAACUCUUUAUCCCAUCUAGUGAAAACCUUAAUUUCGGAAGAUGACAAUUAAAAUAAUAAAUUAUAAACAGGAUGAUAGGUUAAAUAUAUCUUUGCCAUUGAUUGUUGGUGAAGUUUUUCCUGGUGGCGAUAGCACUAUAGAAAUUCUAAAUAAGGCUUUAAGUGCUGAAUCUGUUAUUUGGCCUGUUCUAAAUGGAAGAUUUAAAGUAUUAGUCCAUUUGAAACCUGGUGAAAAUAAAAUUGGUUUUAAAUACAAGGACCAUAUCCUAGAUUUUAAUUUGAUAUAUGAACCUUUAAAGUUUAAAAGAUUCAUUCGUUUAGUUUAUAUUAAAUGUAAAGAUGAUGAAGGCCGAUUUCAGGCUCCUCCUGAGGAGAAUAAUUCCAUCUACAGUGCCUGCAAUCGAAUACGACUUGGUGCUCGAAUGCUUCAAACAUUUACGGGUGACAAAAUUGGAGAUCAUAAACUGCAAAGAAAAACAUUUUGUCUUGAAGAGAAUAAUGGAGAUGUAAUAUGUCAUGUAUUUACUAGUUCUUUAACUCUAAAUGAAGCUUACAAACUAAAUGAUGAACAACUGUGGUCAAAUUUUGCAGUUGAAUUAAUGAAUUCAAAUCUUAGAGUUAAUAAUGACUGUAAAUUUCUAGCUUUCCUAUCAUUUACGCGAUAUCAUAAUAAUACUAUGUCACCACCACGGAAUUAUAAAGAAAUUUUGCAAAUGACUAAAGGUCAAGUAGCCUUGGGUGGUGGUGGGUUGGCAUUAUUUGGGUCAGGCUGUUUACACACAUGGCCUGAAAAUUUGCACGAAGUUCCAUGGAGGUUUGGAGAUAAAAGACGGAUCGAUAGAAUGCAAUUCAUGGACGACAGUGCAAACAGGGGCUGGUAUUGGGCAUGCUAUUCUACAGGGCUUGGUGCUACUUUGCAUGAAUUAGGACAUACAUUUGAUUUGGGUCAUACAAAAAGUGGAAUUAUGGGAAGAGGUUUUGAUGAUAUUUACAAGUACUUCAUUGUUGACAUGUUUUAUCAUGAUCACAUGUUUCAAAAGCUGUACAAUCCUUAUUAUCAGGUUUCUUCUGUGCAGAACUGUACUGUCUCCUUAUCUCCAACAUCACCUGUAUCUUGGGAGCCUGAAAUAGAAACACCGUUGUACAACCUUCAUUUUCAAAACAUUAAUGAUAGCACUCAGUCCAAAGAAAAAGUUAAUAGCAAUAAUUUAACCCAUAACCGAGAUACAGUUUCUUCUAGAAUGUUGAAAGAUGGUGAAGUACCUUGGAGAUCUCCUAAUCCACCAGAUGUAUAUUAUAAUGACCCAAAUUUAGCUGUGAAUGUAGGAGGUGCUUUUUGGGCAAGAUCAUCUGCUCUGUUGCUGUAUUAUCACAGUUAACGAAUUAUUCUUCAUAUAGAUGGUUUAAUGAUAAAGAUGAGAAAGAAGAAGCCAUGAUUUCUUUUGAUGGCAUGAAACUCAGUUCUUCUCAUGGAAUCCGAAUAGUUGAAUUUAGAGAUGCUGAAGGCAC
rnacentral:misc_RNA from 1 species